CUGUGCUUCACAUUUGGGAGGACCUUUAACAUUGAAAACAUGAUUUUAGAGCCAGCCAGGAGGUGAGAGACCUGCUGACAGGCACCAUCAAUGCUGCCACCAACGGAACUCCGUUCCCACAGAACACCCUCCACUGCCCACCCACACCUACCCCAGCAUUCUCCCAGUGGACAGCCCUCUCCUGCAACAUCUGCAGACCCUAUAGGCACAAGCACCACCCAUACCAGUUGGAAGAACAAGCACUAAGAUCAACAGUUAAUAAAUGGGACUUGAUGAAACUGAAAAGCUUCUCAGCAUGCACACGGCCUUCACAGAUCUGCACCAGGUCCUCUGUGUAUACAUUACGGCUUCCAGGAAAGAAUGUGUUAUAACAGAAAGAGCACACCCUUGGCAACACACAAAUCUGAAGUCAUAUGAGACAGAUGAAGAGGAUCCACCUCUCUUGGGCACCAA